UGGUCCCUGCCGCGGGAGCAGCAGCCCGGCGGGGGAUGCGCGUUCCCCGGUGAAGGGACCCGACCGCUUCCCCACCAGAGGCUUCCGUUGUUUUUUCCCCCAUCCUCCCUCCCCUCCGGAGUCCCGCGCUGAGGCGUAAGGCCGCGCGGCGCCUCCAGCUGCAGCCGCGACAGCCUGCGCGAGCCGUUCGCGCCCGCUGCUGCCGGGCCGGGCCACGAUGACCAGCGGCCAGGAGUGUCAGGAUGUGCAGGGCAGUGGUGAUGAUGUUUCCUCUUUAAAAGCAAAAGAAAGUUAUGGCACUAGAGAGGAUGACUCAGCUCAAGAGUGUAAAUCAGGAGAAGACAGUUCUGAAAAUAACUCCGAAAGUAGCUCUGAAAGUGAGUCAGAUACUGAGGAGACAGAUAUAAGAAAAUCUGGUGA